GUGGAUAACCUACCUAUAAGACUGGGAUAACUUCGGGAAACCGGAGCUAAUACCGGAUAAUAUAUUGAACCGCAUGGUUCAAUAGUGAAAGACGGUUUUGCUGUCACUUAUAGAUGGAUCCGCGCCGCAUUAGCUAGUUGGUAAGGUAACGGCUUACCAAGGCGACGAUGCGUAGCCGACCUGAGAGGGUGAUCGGCCACAUUGGGACUGAGAUACGGCCCAG
rnacentral:rRNA from 1 species